rnacentral:rRNA from 1 species
UACGGAGGGGGCUAGCGUUGUUCGGAAUUACUGGGCGUAAAGCGCACGUAGGCGGCUUUGUAAGUUAGAGGUGAAAGCCCGGAGCUCAACUCCGGAACUGCCUUUAAGACUGCAUCGCUUGAACGUCGGAGAGGUAAGUGGAAUUCCGAGUGUAGAGGUGAAAUUCGUAGAUAUUCGGAAGAACACCAGUGGCGAAGGCGACUUACUGGACGACUAUUGACGCUGAGGUGCGAAAGCGUGGGGAGCAAACAGG